UACAGGGGGGGCAAGCGUUGUUCGGAAUUACUGGGCGUAAAGGGCUUGUAGGUGGCCGACUAAGUCCGACGUGAAAUCCCCAGGCUUAACCUGGGAACUGCGUCGGAUACUGGUUGGCUUGAAUCCGGGAGAGGGAUGCGGAAUUCCAGGUGUAGGCGGUGAAAUGCGUAGAUAUCUGGAGAACACCGGUGGCGAAGGCGGCGAUCCUGGACCGGCAU
rnacentral:rRNA from 1 species